rnacentral:misc_RNA from 1 species
AGAGGAGAAAAAAAAAAUUAAAAAACUUAGAAAUAAAGCAGCGAAUAAUACUCUAAUAGCCAAAGUCAUAAGCUCUUUUUCGCCUAAUAAACUGAUGUCCAAGCUCCAGUGUUGCCUGUCACAGCGGCCACCACUAGGGAGAGGAGAGCAGAGCUGGGACUUCAAUGAGGACUUUGGAUGGCACGGAGUUCUACCUUUUUCAGCAUGAUUAACCCUCAUCAGAUGCUAUUUUCUAAAUUAACAUAGGCCUUUUAUUUACUCCGGUCAUGGCCUACUUCCAAAG